rnacentral:rRNA from 1 species
UACGUAGGGUGCAAGCGUUGUCCGGAAUUAUUGGGCGUAAAGAGCUCGUAGGCGGUUUGUUGCGUCGGCUGUGAAAUCCCGAGGCUCAACCUCGGGUCUGCAGUCGAUACGAGCAAACUAGAGUGUUGCAGGGGAGACUGGAAUUCCUGGUGUAGCGGUGAAAUGCGCAGAUAUCGUGAGGAAGACCAGUGGCGAAGGCGGAUCUCUGGACAGCUCCUGACGCUGAGGCGCGAAGGCUAGGGGAGCAAACGGG